rnacentral:rRNA from 1 species
GUCUAUGGCCAUACCACCUUGAACACGCCUGAUCUCGUCUGAUCUCAGCAAACACAGUGUAGGGUCUAAGAACCCCAACAUGGGGCUUUAUAUU